GGCUCGCAGGGUCGCACUCUGCCGUCGGGCCACCGCCGUGGCACUGCACCGCACGACGCUGGACACCGCGACCGCAGGACACCGAGCACUGCAGGAAGGGAUAGAGACAGAAAACCAGGACAACACUCAUCCUUAAGAUUUAUGCAUUUUGAAAGCAACCCAGAAGAAGGCAGAGCCCGAGGAAUGAAAGCAAAAAAAGCAAAGCAGCAGGCAACGAACAUCGGCAGCACAAAGAAAACAUCAACUCCUCCCAAACCCAGUUAUCAACUUCUAUCACAUCUACCAUGAAGCUGGUUGACAAACACUUGGUCUUGCAAAUAUGGCACCGUUUCCAAAAUUUCUAUCCUCUAUCCCUCUUCUACACAUCACUUGAACUUGAUACGGAGCCAGACUGUGACAUUUAUCUUGGCAUCCCACACCAAGAUGUGGCAGGUCUACAUUCACAUUUUGGCGCAUCUAGAGAUGGAGGCGUAAUUAGGCUAAUUUUGUUAAUACUGAAGAGUAAUUACCAAGAUGCUGGAAUUAAUCAUUUUGAUGUCUGCCUUUAAUAUACAUUACAGUGAGGCAGCUGCAUGUUUGGUUUCAUGCACAUGUGAGUUAUGAUCUCAUUUGCACUGAUAGAAAAGAGAGGUUGGAUAACCUGAUGUAAGCAAGUAUUAGAGACUGAAAAUUCCUUUGCAAAGAGCCUGCUUCGUAACUGCCUUCUAAUUCUUCUCAGGUACUUCCAGCUUUUACUUGGCACGUAGAUUUUAAGCAUAUGUGAGCCAUAUGCACAGAACAAUUCAAUAGCACACUUAUCUCAGUGCCACACGACUGAAUGCAGAGAUAUACCUCGCUGCUGCAGGCACCCCUUAGCCCUGACCCCAGGAAACUUUGCAUUUCAUUAGUAGGGUUCUUUCAUCGCUGGAAACGCUGCCACCCGCUCACAACUUCCAUCAAUAACAAUGCUGCAGUGAGGUAAGCCUUGACCUUGCAUUCUUUAAAGGUUUGAAAAGCGCAGACAAAAAACACUCCUUUCACAGACUCCUUUCUUUCCUUUCCCCCCACUCUGUAGAAAAUACUUCAAAGUUCCAGGGGGUGGAUGGGGGUCUCUCCCAUUCCAGGCUCUUUGUAGUCAAUAGAAAGACUCGUACUGGUAGAAUUGUCUCUGGAUGCAGCCCCGAACGUGUAGCCAAGGUACUGUAUUGCCUUUUCCACUGACCAGCUCCAUCAAAUCGAAGAUCACGUGCACUUGGACGUGCCAGUGAUCAACCUGUGUCUGCCAAAGUGCUUGGAAACAUGACUGCUGAAAAGCUGUUUCCAGCCUGUAGCAGAGGCAUGGCAACAAAUGUCAGCAUCCCUGGCUGGACAGCCACACUGGUGCUGGGAAACAACAGAUGGUGUUGUUUCUUAAAACAAACAGCAAACAAAACCCACAAAAACCCCAACCAGCCAACCAAAAAACCCAGAAAAACUGUGGUACGUAAAUUAAUAGAGAAACAGUAUUUCAAAAAAUAAGCCAUAGUCCUUAUGCUAUUGACACUGUAAACCUUCCUUUUGUUAUCACCUUCAUCUCCUAAAACCACUGCAAUCACACCUGGUGCUUCACAAAGAGAAUCCAAAUGAAAGGACCUUCCUAACAGCAUUAGGAUCAAAGUGUUUGAACACAGAUUUAAGGGAAUUAUGGUUAUUGCGUGAUUAGUUUUGUAAACACGCCAAGAGCCGUGGAUUGGCAUACUGCUGAUUUUCCCAAAUAAAUAUACCACGUAGCAUAAAUAAAUGCAACAAAAAGGAUUUAAAUGAAAACAAGAAAAAUAUUUCCAUAUCAGCUGUUUCUCGAAAGAUCAGAAUAUGAUGCUCAACAUCAAUGAAAGGAAACAAGCAGCACAGAGCUGCCAAAGAUGAUGGAGUGACUCUGCUUUCGUUACCUCUGAGCACUGGACACUCUGCUAAACAGGGGGCAGAAAAGCCAAAUGGUGGCAAGAAUCUGGGUGAGUUCUCCACCAAAAAGGAGAAGUUUCAGAAAAUGCUGUCAGACCACUUUCCCUCGUAUGGGCGAUUUGGGAGGUAUUUGAGGUAAUGAAUGCAAGCUGCGGUGAUCACCCAAUGAAUUCCCCCAGAUAGGUAUGCUCAGAUAGCUUGGGAAGGGCAGCAGAGGGGGCUGGGAAGAAUUAGCCUAAAAAUGUCUUUAUCAGAUUGUGCCAGGAGCAACUUUGCAGAGGAAAUUAAAAUCAAUCCCUGUAGGUUUAGAUUUCCACACGUUAAGGAUUAUGUGGAAAGUAAGUCCGCCUAAGUAAGCCCUCCUUCAUCCUUUCCAACAAUCUGAAUUGAAUCGUGUGCUGGAUGAAAUAAAACAGAAAAACAAUAUUGCUACAACAGACCUACGCACUCACAUCCCCUUUGCAUUAGGAGCUGUGCUCCUGGGUAUCAGCAAACCCUCCUCGGCCAGGAGAGAGUCACCACGGGCACCCCUGUAGAGACAUUUCAGCAUCCCCUUAGUGCACAUCAUCCCAUACGUACACUACAAAAACAGCCCUACGACAUCUGUUCGUCUGAAUUCCCUUCAGCACAAAGGGCACUGGAAGACACAUCACCACCACAAGUCAUAACAGCACCUUCUCCCCUCUUCCACCCACCCACAUCACCUACAAAGACUUCACCAGGUGCAGCAAUUAGCAGGGCCAUGAACACACAGAUCCUAUCCUAAAAGCUGCAUCCCUGCUCCAAGCUACAUAACCUAAACAGCAAACAAGCAAAAGCCACCAAAUAGUGAUGGCAGGACCCUCCAGUGAGGGAUGCGAUAGAUAAUUUUUCCUCAAAUGAGGAGGAAAUGUGCCAGAUACCCAAAGAAGCUGGUAUAGUGGGAUGUGGAAAAGGCUGAUUGGAGCCUAUUUUCCAUGCUGCGGCACUUUUAGGAAAGUAGCAAUUGAAG